CAGCCGCCACGGUAAUUCGUAGGGCGCAAGCGUUAUCCGGAAUUAUUGGGCGUAAAGAGCUCGUAGGCGGUUUGUCGCGUCUGCCGUGAAAGUCCGGGGCUCAACCCCGGAUCUGCGGUGGGUACGGGCAGACUAGAGUGAUGUAGGGGAGGCUGGAAUUCCUGGUGUAGCGGUGAAAUGCGCAGAUAUCAGGAGGAACACCGAUGGCGAAGGCAGGUCUCUGGGCAUUAACUGACGCUGAGGAGCGAAAGCAUGGGGAGCGAACAGGAUUAGAUACCCCAGUAGUCCCUGUCUCUUAUAC
rnacentral:rRNA from 1 species